UUUCCUUUCUCGUUCCCCGGCCAUCUUAGCGGCUGCUGUUGGUUGGGGGCCGUCCCGCACCUAAGGCAGGAAGAUGGUGGCCGCAAAGAAGACGGUGAGUGAGGCGGGCCAGGCCCGGAAGCCGAUUCACGUGGAGAGAUGUCUCGGCCAGGGCGGGCAGAUGUGAGCCCACUGGGAUGACAGCAUGCUUGCUGGCAUUUGGAGGGCCCCAGAGGGAAUCCCAGUGGCCCUCUCAAUGACUUGGGGUCCUCGACUUCGGAAGUUUAAGGGGCUCGGCUUCAAAAAGCUGGGUCCGGUUUUGAGGUGGUUGCACGCGAGGCCCUUAGGUCCGUAUUUAAUGUUUGCUUUGUAGAAAAAGUCGCUGGAGUCGAUCAACUCUAGGCUUCAACUCGUUAUGAAAAGUGGGAAGUACGUCCUGGGGUACAAGCAGACUCUGAAGAUGAUCAGACAAGGCAAAGCGAAAUUGGUCAUUCUCGCUAACAACUGCCCAGCUUUGAGGUAAUCGAAGAAACUGAACGGGCGUCGCCUACCGCGAAUUCAUCGUGAACGAAUAUACAGGAGUGUAAACUUGUA
rnacentral:sRNA from 1 species